rnacentral:rRNA from 1 species
CAGUCGCCACGGGAAUACGAAGGGUGCAAGCGUUACUCGGAAUUACUGGGCGUAAAGCGUGCGUAGGUGGUGGUUUAAGUCCGUUGUGAAAGCCCUGGGCUUAACCUGGGAAUUGCAGUGGAUACUGGGUCACUAGAGUGUGGUAGAGGAUAGUGGAAUUUCCGGUGUAGCAGUGAAAUGCGUAGAGAUCGGAAGGAACAUCUGUGGCGAAGGCGACUAUCUGGGCCAACACUGACACUGAGGCACGAAAGCGUGGGGAGCAAACAGGAUUAGAUACCCCAGUAGUCCCUGUCUCUUAUAC